GACGAACGCUGGCGGCAUGCCUAACACAUGCAAGUCGAGCGAGUAGAUCCCUUCGGGGUGAAGCUAGCGGCGGACGGGUGAGUAACACGUGGGCAACCUGCCUCAUAGAGGGGAAUAGCCUUCCGAAAGGAAGAUUAAUACCGCAUAAGAUUGUAGUACCGCAUGGUAUAGCAAUUAAAGGAGUAAUCCGCUAUGAGAUGGGCCCGCGGCGCAUUAGCUAGUUGGUGAGGUAACGGCUCACCAAGGCGACGAUGCGUAGCCGACCUGAGAGGGUGAUCGGCCACAUUGGGACUGAGACACGGCCCAGACUCCUACGGGAGGCAGCAGUGGGGAAUAUUGCACAAUGGGGGAAACCCUGAUGCAGCAAUGCCGCGUGAGUGAUGACGGCCUUCGGGUUGUAAAGCUCUGUCUUCGGGGACGAUAAUGACGGUACCCGAGGAGGAAGCCACGGCUAACUACGUGCCAGCCGCCGCGGUAA
rnacentral:rRNA from 1 species